GACGAACGCUGGCGGCGUGCUUAACACAUGCAAGUCGAGCGGAGCGGCGAACGGGUGAGGAACGCGUGAGUAACUGCCCCCCUCUCUGGGAUAACAGUUGGAAACGGCUGCCAAUACCGGAUAGUGGGGGAUGACUCGCGGCCUAUCCGCUUGUUGGUGGGGUAGUGGCCUACCAAGGCGACGACGGGUUGCCGGCCUGAGAGGGCGAACGGCCACCUUGGGCUGAGAUACGGCGCAAACUCCUACGGGAGGCAGCGGUGGGAAAUAUGUCACAGUGGGGGAAACCCUGAUGCAGCAGCGCCGCGUGCGGGAUGACGGCCUUCGGGUUGUAAACCGCUUUCUGCCAUGACGCGGUAGUGGCAGAAGAAGCACCGGCUAACUACGUGCCAGCAGCCGCGGUAAUUC
rnacentral:rRNA from 1 species